rnacentral:rRNA from 1 species
GUUCCCUACGGGGCGCAGCAGUAGGGAAUAUUGCUCAAUGGGGGAAACCCUGAAGCAGCAACGCCGCGUGGAGGAUGAAGGUUUUAGGAUUGUAAACUCCUUUUGUAAGAGAAGAUUAUGACGGUAUCUUACGAAUAAGCACCGGCUAACUCCGUGCCAGCAGCCGUGGUAAUACGGAGGGUGCAAGCGUUACUCGGAAUCAUUGGGCGUAAAGAGCGCGUAGGCGGGUGGUCAAGUCAGAUGGGAAAGCCUGUAG